UGUCAUGCCAAUAAAAAAAAAAAAAAAAAAAAAAAAAUUUUUUCGCUUUUUACUAAAAAAUUCCGUGGAGAGGAGCAGUUCAAUGAGUCUUGAUCUUUUUUCGAUAUCCGAUUUUGGUCGGUUU
rnacentral:snRNA from 1 species